AAAAAGAGCAGAGGUAGUUUGAGGAAGCUUGAAGAGCAGCCUGAAUGGUUAAAGGGUGGGAAACUUCGAGAUUAUCAGCUUGAAGGCUUAAAUUUUCUGGUUAAUAGUUGGAGGAAUGAUACUAAUGUUAUAUUAGCUGAUGAAAUGGGCCUCGGCAAAACUGUUCAGUCUGUUUCAAUGCUCGGUUUUCUUCAGAAUGCUCAGCAAAUUCAUGGACCAUUUCUUGUUGUUGUCCCAUUAUCAACUCUUGCCAAUUGGGCAAAAGAAUUUAGGAAAUGGCUGCCUGAUAUGAACGUUAUUGUCUAUGUCGGAGCACGUGCAAGUCGUGAGGUCUGUCAACAAUACGAAUUCUACAAUGAUAAUAAAGUUGGCAGGACUACCAAAUUUGAUGCACUGCUUACUACUUAUGAGGUGCUAUUGAAGGACAAGGCUGUGCUUUCAAAGAUAAGGUGGAACUACCUUAUGGUUGAUGAAGCGCACAGGCUAAAGAACAGUGAGGCUUCUCUUUAUACAACACUUUUGGAGUUCGACACGAAGAACAAGUUGCUUAUUACUGGUACUCCAUUGCAGAACAGCGUU
rnacentral:misc_RNA from 1 species